CCGAGUUUACAACUCCCAAACCCAAUGUGAACGUUACCAAACUGUUGCCUCGGCGGGAUCUCUGCCCCGGGUGCGUCGCAGCCCCGGACCAAGGCGCCCGCCGGAGGACCAACCAAAACUCUUAUUGUAUACCCCCUCGCGGGUUUUUUACUAUCUGAGCCAUCUCGGCGCCCCCUCGUGGGCGUUUCGAAAAUGAAUCA
rnacentral:misc_RNA from 1 species